UGGGGAAUAUUGCACAAUGGGCGCAAGCCUGAUGCAGCCAUGCCGCGUGUGUGAAGAAGGCCUUCGGGUUGUAAAGCACUUUCAGCGGGGAGGAAGGCGAUAAGGUUAAUAACCUUGUCGAUUGACGUUACCCGCAGAAGAAGCACCGGCUAACUCCGUGCCAGCAGCCGCGGUAAUACGGAGGGUGCAAGCGUUAAUCGGAAUUACUGGGCGUAAAGCGCACGCAGGCGGUCUGUCAAGUCGGAUGUGAAAUCCCCGGGCUCAACCUGGGAACUGCAUUCGAAACUGGCAGGCUAGAGUCUUGUAGAGGGGGGUAGGAUUCCAGGUGUAGCGGUGAAAUGCGUAGAGAUCUGGAGGAAUACCGGUGGCGAAGGCGGCCCCCUGGACAAAGACUGACGCUCAGGUGCGAAAGCGUGGGGAGCGAACAGG
rnacentral:rRNA from 1 species